CCAUUGAGAAGACUUGGUCGGCAGUCAACGUUUGAUCGUUUGUCUUAUUUAAAAAUUUUUUAUGAUUAGUAUUUUUAUUGCUAUUAGAUGAUAAAACAUGAAUAGUACUUUAUGUGUGACUAAAUGUUUUUAAUUUUUUCACAAAUUUUUCAAAUAAGACGGACGGUCAAACGUUGAACGUGAAUAGUGUAAAACUGCACUUAUU
rfam:Oryza rufipogon genomic scaffold, chr04